UCAUACUGAAAAAGGGAACACAAUUACUCAAGUACAGUAGGAAAGGGAAACCAAAGUUCCGCGCAUUCAGGCUUUCACCGGAUGAAAAAACGUUGAUUUGGUUCUCGCGUGGAGAAGAAAAAGGUUUGAAGUUAUCUGAAGUUUCUCGAAUCGUCCCUGGACAAAGAACUGCUGUUUUUAAGAGAUUUUUACGUCCAGAGAAGGAUCACUUAUCAUUUUCACUUCUAUAUAAUAACAGAGAAAGGUC